CUGCUCCGCUUCGUGGCAGCAAUGAAAUCAAGAAGCUAAGCUUGGGUUUUGGGUGUUUGUUCCCGCGCCCUUGUCGAAAACCAUUAACAAAAUAUGUAUGUAGAAAGCUUAUCGGUUCUUUGUUUGGACGAGGGUUCGAAUCCCUCCAGCUCCACAA
rnacentral:tmRNA from 1 species